rnacentral:rRNA from 1 species
ACUCAAAGGAAUUGACGGGGACCCGCACAAGCGGUGGAACAUGUGGUUCAAUUCGAUGCAACGCGAAGAACCUUACCUGGCCUUGACAUGCCUAGAACCUGGUAGAGAUAUCGGGGUGCCUUCGGGAGCUAGGACACAGGUGCUGCAUGGUUGUCGUCAGCUCGUGUCGUGAGAUGUUGGGUUAAGUCCCGCAACGAGCGCAACCCUUGUUGUUAGUUGCCACUCAUUACUUCGGUAGUGGAGCACUCUGACAAGACUGCCCCGGUUAACGGGGAGGAAGGUGGGGACGACGUCAAAUCAUCAUGGCCCUUACGGCCAGGGCUACACACGUGUUACAAUGGGCGCCACAAUGGGCAGCAACUGUGCAAACAGAAGCGAAUCCCUUAAAAGCGCUCUCAGUUCAGAUCGUAGGCUGCAACUCGCCUACGUGAAGUCGGAAUCGCUAGUAAAUGCAGAUCAGCACGCUGCAUUGAAUACGUUCCCGGGUCUUGUACACACCGCCCGU